rnacentral:rRNA from 1 species
GAUGAACGCUGGCGGCGUGCCUAAUACAUGCAAGUCGAGCGAACAGACGAGGAGCUUGCUCCUCUGACGUUAGCGGCGGACGGGUGAGUAACACGUGGAUAACCUACCUAUAAGACUGGGAUAACUUCGGGAAACCGGAGCUAAUACCGGAUAAUAUAUUGAACCGCAUGGUUCAAUAGUGAAAGACGGUUUUGCUGUCACUUAUAGAUGGAUCCGCGCCGCAUUAGCUAGUUGGUAAGGUAACGGCUUACCAAGGCGACGAUGCGUAGCCGACCUGAGAGGGUGAGCGGCCACACUGGAACUGAGACACGGUCCAGACUCCUACGGGAGGCAGCAGUAGGGAAUCUUCCGCAAUGGGCGAAAGCCGGACGGAGCAACGCCGCGUGAGUGAUGAAGGUCUUCGGAUCGUAAAACUCUGUUAUUAGGGAAGAACAAAUGUGUAAGUAACUAUGCACGUCUUGACGGUACCUAAUCAGAAAGCCACGGCUAACUACGUG